UACGGGGGGGGCAAGCGUUGUUCGGAAUUACUGGGCGUAAAGGGCUCGUAGGUGGUCAACUAAGUCAUACGUGAAAUCCCUCGGCUUAACCGGGGAACUGCGCCUGAUACUGGUUGACUUGAGUUUGGGAGAGGGACGCGGAAUUCCAGGUGUAGCGGUGAAAUGCGUAGAUAUCUGGAGGAACACCGGUGGCGAAGGCGGCAUCCUGGACCAACACUGACACUGAGGAGCGAAAGCCAGGGGAGCAAACGGG
rnacentral:rRNA from 1 species